CCUACGGGAGGCUGCAGUGGGGAAUAUUGCACAAUGGGCGCAAGCCUGAUGCAGCCAUGCCGCGUGUGUGAAGAAGGCCUUCGGGUUGUAAAGCACUUUCAGCGGGGAGGAAGGCGGUGAGGUUAAUAACCUCAUCGAUUGACGUUACCCGCAGAAGAAGCACCGGCUAACUCCGUGCCAGCAGCCGCGGUAAUACGGAGGGUGCAAGCGUUAAUCGGAAUUACUGGGCGUAAAGCGCACGCAGGCGGUCUGUCAAGUCGGAUGUGAAACCCCCGGGCUCAACCUGGGAACUGCAUUCGAAACUGGCAGGCUAGAGUCUUGUAGAGGGGGGUAGAAUUCCAGGUGUAGCGGUGAAAUGCGUAGAGAUCUGGAGGAAUACCGGUGGCGAAGGCGGCCCCCUGGACAAAGACUGACGCUCAGGUGCGAAAGCGUGGGGAGCAAACAGGAUUAGAUACCCGUGUAGUC
rnacentral:rRNA from 1 species